UGAGGGAAUUCGGAGUGGCCACCCGUUCUGAAAGUUUGAUUUUCUUCUGGUGAACUAGACAUCCUUUUAUUUACGUUUGAUGUUUUGGGUUUUUAAAUGUAAUAAGGCCGCUUAAUUAUUUUUGAUGGUUUUAAUAUGUAUUACUAAGAUAGGUAUUACUUAUUUUAACUGUUGAAAUUGGAUAGCUUUAGGGAGCGUUUUCAAAAACAACAAUUGAUUUCAAAAUAACACGACAACAAGCAAAGCUUCCGCAAUGAAAGUAUUUUCCAAAAUUAAUCACUUUUCCUAAAAAUGAC
rnacentral:lncRNA from 1 species